UACGUAGGGACCAAGCGUUGUUCGGAUUUACUGGGCGUAAAGGGCGCGUAGGCGGCCUAGCAAGUCACUUGUGAAAUCUCCGGGCUUAACUCGGAACUGCCAAGUGAAACUGCUGGGCUAGAGUGCAGAAGGGGCAAUCGGAAUUCUUGGUGUAGCGGUGAAAUGCGUAGAUAUCGGAAGGAACAUCAGUGGCGAAAGCGACUUCCUGGACCAAUACUGACGCUCAUGUGCGAAAGCGUGGGGAGCAAACAGG
rnacentral:rRNA from 1 species